ACAUUGGUGUAAUGAAGGGAAAAAAAGAUGGAAAAUUGGGAACAUAAAUAUCAAAGUUUAAGAGAAAAAGAAACAAACUAUUGGAGUAGAAAUUCAAACAGCUAAAAUUUGCAGUGUGUUCACAACCUCAAACUCACAACUGAAAAACAACCGACAUUACACAAGCAGAAAAUUCGAGGAAAAUGACGAUCCUAUGAUCACCAUAAAACUGAAUAAAGAAAGUUACAUAGGAUUAGAAAGUCCUCUUGAACAUAACCCUGAAGGGAGUGUCACUGAGAGCCAAAAACCUGACUCCAUCCUUAUUGUAUAUACCAACAUCUUUGCAAAUAACCUUGCAAAAUGUGCACACGCUUGGGCAGAACACAAACUUGUAAUCAGUCCCAAGUUUCUCAAUCUUAAACCAAUUGCUCACUGUCAGAGGUCCCGGGUUUCCUUCAACUCCACCAGUCACUAUGAAAUAUUGCUUCAACUUCUCAUCAUAGGUCCCAAGUUUCCAAAUAGUUUCUC
rnacentral:lncRNA from 1 species